AUUGUACUCCCUCUGUCCGAAAUUACUUGUCGCGAAAAUGGAUAAAAGUGGAUGUAUCUACAACUAAAAUACGUCUAGACACAUUCAUUUCUUUGACAAGUAUUUCUGAACGGAGGGAGUACAAA
rnacentral:pre_miRNA from 1 species